rnacentral:rRNA from 1 species
AGUGAACGCUGGCGGUAGGCCUAAUACAUGCAAGUCGAACGGCAGCACAGUAAGUGCUUGCUCUUACGGGUGGCGAGUGGCGGACGGGUGAGGAAUACAUCCGAAUCUACUUUUUCGUGGGGGAUAACGUAGGGAAACUUACGCUAGUACAGCAUACGACGUCGGGUUGAAUGUGGGGGACAUUUGGACUUUGAGCGCUUCAAGGAGCCCAUGCGUAGUUAUAUAGUGGGCGGGGUAAAGCCCCACCAAGGCGACAAUCCGUAGCUGGUCUGAGGGGAUGAUCAGCCACACUGGAACUGAGACACGGUCCAGACUCCUACGGGAGGCGGCAGUGGGGAAUAUUGGACAAUGGGCGCAAGCCUGAUCCAGCCAUACCGCGUGGGUGAGGAAGGCCUUCGGGUUGUAAAGCCCUUUUUUUGAGAAAGAAAAGCAGCAGGUUAAUACCCCGCUGUUCUGACGGUACCCAAAGAAUAAGCACCGGCUAACUUCGUG